GAUGAACGCUAGCGGGAGGCUUAACACAUGCAAGUCGAGGGGCAGCACGGGGUAGCAAUACUCUGGUGGCGACCGGCGCACGGGUGAGUAACGCGUAUGUAACCUGCCCUUUACCGGAGGAUAACCCGGAGAAAUUCGGACUAAUAUUCCAUAAAGAUACUUAGAGGCAUCUUUGAGUAUUUAAAGCUACGGUGGUAAAGGAGGGGCAUGCGUAACAUUAGCUAGUUGGGAGGGUAACGUCCUGCCAAGGCAAUGAUGUUUAGGGGACCUGAGAGGGUGAUCCCCCACACUGGUACUGAGACACGGACCAGACUCCUACGGGAGGCAGCAGUGAGGAAUAUUGGUCAAUGGGCGACAGCCUGAACCAGCCAUCCCGCCGUGAAGGAAGAAAGACGCUAUGCGUUGUAAACUUCUUUUCCUAGAGGGAGUAAAAUAGAUGUACGCGUACAUUACUUGAAGGUACUCUGGGAAGUAAAGCAUCGGCCUAACUCCCGUGCCACGCAGCCGCCGGUAAAACGUAAG
rnacentral:rRNA from 1 species